UACAGAGAGUGCAAACGUUGUUCGGAAUUACUGGGCUUGAAGCGCACGUAGGCGGCGUUGUAAGUGUCGGGUGAAAUCCCACGGCUCACCCGUGGAACUGCCCGGCAUACUGCGAUGCUAGAGUGUGGUAGGGGAGAGCGGAACUCCUGGUGGAGCGGUGAAAUGCGUAGAUAUCAGGAGGAACACCGGUGGCGAAGGCGGAUCUCUGGGCCUUACCUGACGCUGAGGCGCGAAAGCUAGGGGAGCGAACAGG
rnacentral:rRNA from 1 species